CGGUCGGAGGCUGGCCGCGGAAGCCGCGCCACGGCCCUAGGAAGUCCGCAGAAGCGGCCGUGUAGCCCGAAGGGGGCCGCAGAGGCGGCAGCGCGGUCAGAUAGAGUCAGCAGAGGCCGCGCCACGGCCCUAGGGAGUCCGCAGAAGCGGCCGUGUAGCCGGAAGGAGGCCGCGGAGGCGGCGGCGCGGUCGGACAGAGUCAGCAGAGGCCACGGCGCCGCCGGAGGGAGGCCGCGGCACGGUCGGCGCGGUCGGAGGGAGUCCGCAGAGGCCGAGGCGCGGUCGGACGGAGUCAGCAGAGGCCGCGGUCGGAGGGAGUCAGCAGAAGCGGUGGCGCUGCCGGAGGGAGCCCGCAGAGGCCGCGGCGCGGUCGGAGGGAGCCCGCAGAAGCGGAGGUGUGAUCAGAGGGUCUUAGGAGAAGCCGUGAUAGCUUCCACGUAAUGGUGGAGGAGGAGGCAGGUAUCAUUUUUGUGUGGAGAGAACAUUCAAAAGUCUCCCUUCUUGCCCUUUUGAAAAAUACAGUAUUGUUAACUCCAGUCACCAGGCUGAGGAGGAGAACACUGAUUUAGUCCUUCAACGGUUCAUCUGGGUUGCCCUAAAUGAUGCUGUUUGAUUAUUUUGAUGGCCAAAGAAUAU